rnacentral:lncRNA from 1 species
CUUCACGCGGAGGUGUGUUGCCUAGGAGCUGGGUUGUCUUCACCGCAGAGCAGAGUCUUCUAACCUCCAUCUCCUGCUGCGUCCUGUGUGCUGCUGGCUGGAGAAGGGUUCAAGGCUGCAAUGAGCUAUGAUUCUACCACAGCACUCCAGCCUGCGAGACUGAGCAAAGGAAGAAUGGUGUGCCAGAAUCACCAAAUUAAGAAAGACAGUGAAUCAGCUUUUCUGCAAAAAAAUUUGAUCUUUUUUAAGAUGAAAACUUUGAAGCACAUUCAAAUGAUUUGUAUGUGGAAGGACUACCGGAAAACAUUCCUUUCAGAAGUCCCUCAUGAUAUGGAAUUCCAAGGCUGGAAAACAUCAGUCAAGUGGGAAACUGAAUUAAAUUUUUAUUAA